UGACAACGUACGUAUUGACACGACCGUUAAUAAUUUUUGUCGUCGAGAAGAAAAUUUGAAGGUUUUUACUCGAGAUCGCACAUUUUAUAAACGAUUCAACUUAACCUAACCUAUUGUUCUGAUUGUGAGAACUCGAAGGAUUCGAGCUGGCUUGUCACGCCUAUACAUUGCCAAAGGUAAACCUAUUAAUUGUUCUGAUUGUGAGAACUCGAAGGAUUCGAGCUGGCUCGUCACGCCUAUACGUUGCCACAGGUAAAACCUUAUAUUGUUCUGAUUGUGAGAACUCGAAGGAUUCGAAGAUUAUUUUGCAACAUUUUCUUCCUGAAGAAUAUUUAAUUCACUUUAACAGUCUCAAUUGUGCUAUACGGAUAUUGUGCGAUCCCUGAAAUUGCUACAGAAACAACGCUUAUGCUAAAGAAUUGCUGAUUUAUUUUGUACAGCAAUUUAAGACGUUGUAUGGGGAGCAAUAUGUUUGUUGAAGCGAAUGAUACGAAAACACGCUAAUCUUUUGCAACAAAUUCAUCGACGACUAAUCGAAAAGUACAGUUACGAUCAACAUCCUCAAAAUAAGAAGAAUCAGAAGAUUUUGAAGCAUCCUAUACUCAAGAAGCCAAUUGUGUCAGAACUUCCUUUGGGUUGCCACAGCGAGCACCAAAUUCUACAAAUCCGCAUGUUUGAAUUAUCAAAUAAAAGGCCAGACAACUGUUGCUUCCUGACUGAUGCAACUAUCGUGAUGAUUAAGCACAUUGGAUUAAUGGAAAAUAAGAUUGUUGUUCUUGAUGCAGACUUUGUAGUAUUUUUUGACGACUUUUGUAAUCUCGUACCAGAAAAUUGGAUGGAUUUAGAAUCAAACAAAGUUUUUUGGCCUCCAAAACAGGUCAAAUUUAAUAAAAACAAAAUGCAUUAUCUACAUCCAAAAGAUGACUGGCUUAUAUACGAAUGCCGUAAACGUUUGGGACCUUUUGAGUCUUUUCAAUUAGCUAAUCAAGUAGAAGAGCACUGCAUGAACAUAUCUACAAAUAAAGAUACUGAUGACGUGUGACAAAGCUAUUAAGGCAUCUGAGGCACAAAAGAUACGAAAUAAGAGAAAGCCAGCAUGGCUUCGGAACGAAACGUUGGCGUCGGAAGAAGAAGUAGAAGAAGAAGUAGAAGAAGAGGAAGAAGAGGAAGAGGAGGAGGAGGAGGAGGAGGAAGAAG